rnacentral:rRNA from 1 species
GCAGCCGCCGCGGGAAUACGUAGGGUGCAAGCGUUAAUCGGAAUUACUGGGCGUAAAGCGUGCGCAGGCGGUUAUAUAAGACAGAUGUGAAAUCCCCGGGCUCGACCUGGGAACUGCAUUUGUGACUGUAUAGCUAGAGUACGGCAGAGGGGGAUGGAAUUCCGCGUGUAGCAGUGAAAUGCGUAGAUAUGCGGAGGAACACCGAUGGCGAAGGCAAUCCCCUGGGCCUGUACUGACGCUCAUGCACGAAAGCGUGGGGAGCAAACAGGAUUAGAUACCCGAGUAGUCCCUGUCUCUUAUAC